UAAGCGACUAAGCGUACACGGUGGAUGCCCUGGCAGUCAGAGGCGAUGAAGGACGUGCUAAUCUGCGAUAAGCGUCGGUAAGGUGAUAUGAACCGUUAUAACCGGCGAUUUCCGAAUGGGGAAACCCAGUGUGAUUCGUCACACUAUCAUUAACUGAAUCCAUAGGUUAAUGAGGCGAACCGGGGGAACUGAAACAUCUAAGUACCCCGAGGAAAAGAAAUCAACCGAGAUUCCCCCAGUAGCGGCGAGCGAACGGGGAGCAGCCCAGAGCCUGAAUCAGUGUGUGUGUUAGUGGAAGCGUCUGGAAAGGCGCGCGAUACAGGGUGACAGCCCCGUACACAAAAAUGCACAUACUGUGAGCUCGAUGAGUAGGGCGGGACACGUGGUAUCCUGUCUGAAUAUGGGGGGACCAUCCUCCAAGGCUAAAUACUCCUGACUGACCGAUAGUGAACCAGUACCGUGAGGGAAAGGCGAAAAGAACCCCGGCGAGGGGAGUGAAAAAGAACCUGAAACCGUGUACGUACAAGCAGUGGGAGCACGCUUAGGCGUGUGACUGCGUACCUUUUGUAUAAUGGGUCAGCGACUUAUAUUCUGUAGCAAGGUUAACCGAAUAGGGGAGCCGAAGGGAAACCGAGUCUUAACUGGGCGUUAAGUUGCAGGGUAUAGACCCGAAACCCGGUGAUCUAGCCAUGGGCAGGUUGAAGGUUGGGUAACACUAACUGGAGGACCGAACCGACUAAUGUUGAAAAAUUAGCGGAUGACUUGUGGCUGGGGGUGAAAGGCCAAUCAAACCGGGAGAUAGCUGGUUCUCCCCGAAAGCUAUUUAGGUAGCGCCUCGUGAAUUCAUCUCCGGGGGUAGAGCACUGUUUCGGCAAGGGGGUCAUCCCGACUUACCAACCCGAUGCAAACUGCGAAUACCGGAGAAUGUUAUCACGGGAGACACACGGCGGGUGCUAACGUCCGUCGUGAAGAGGGAAACAACCCAGACCGCCAGCUAAGGUCCCAAAGUCAUGGUUAAGUGGGAAACGAUGUGGGAAGGCCCAGACAGCCAGGAUGUUGGCUUAGAAGCAGCCAUCAUUUAAAGAAAGCGUAAUAGCUCACUGGUCGAGUCGGCCUGCGCGGAAGAUGUAACGGGGCUAAACCAUGCACCGAAGCUGCGGCAGCGACGCUUAUGCGUUGUUGGGUAGGGGAGCGUUCUGUAAGCCUGUGAAGGUGUGCUGUGAGGCAUGCUGGAGGUAUCAGAAGUGCGAAUGCUGACAUAAGUAACGAUAAAGCGGGUGAAAAGCCCGCUCGCCGGAAGACCAAGGGUUCCUGUCCAACGUUAAUCGGGGCAGGGUGAGUCGACCCCUAAGGCGAGGCCGAAAGGCGUAGUCGAUGGGAAACAGGUUAAUAUUCCUGUACUUGGUGUUACUGCGAAGGGGGGACGGAGAAGGCUAUGUUGGCCGGGCGACGGUUGUCCCGGUUUAAGCGUGUAGGCUGGUUUUCCAGGCAAAUCCGGAAAAUCAAGGCUGAGGCGUGAUGACGAGGCACUACGGUGCUGAAGCAACAAAUGCCCUGCUUCCAGGAAAAGCCUCUAAGCAUCAGGUAACAUCAAAUCGUACCCCAAACCGACACAGGUGGUCAGGUAGAGAAUACCAAGGCGCUUGAGAGAACUCGGGUGAAGGAACUAGGCAAAAUGGUGCCGUAACUUCGGGAGAAGGCACGCUGAUAUGUAGGUGAAGUCCCUCGCGGAUGGAGCUGAAAUCAGUCGAAGAUACCAGCUGGCUGCAACUGUUUAUUAAAAACACAGCACUGUGCAAACACGAAAGUGGACGUAUACGGUGUGACGCCUGCCCGGUGCCGGAAGGUUAAUUGAUGGGGUCAGCGCAAGCGAAGCUCUUGAUCGAAGCCCCGGUAAACGGCGGCCGUAACUAUAACGGUCCUAAGGUAGCGAAAUUCCUUGUCGGGUAAGUUCCGACCUGCACGAAUGGCGUAAUGAUGGCCAGGCUGUCUCCACCCGAGACUCAGUGAAAUUGAACUCGCUGUGAAGAUGCAGUGUACCCGCGGCAAGACGGAAAGACCCCGUGAACCUUUACUAUAGCUUGACACUGAACAUUGAGCCUUGAUGUGUAGGAUAGGUGGGAGGCUUAGAAGUGUGGACGCCAGUCUGCAUGGAGCCGACCUUGAAAUACCACCCUUUAAUGUUUGAUGUUCUAACGUUGACCCGUAAUCCGGGUUGCGGACAGUGUCUGGUGGGUAGUUUGACUGGGGCGGUCUCCUCCUAAAGAGUAACGGAGGAGCACGAAGGUUGGCUAAUCCUGGUCGGACAUCAGGAGGUUAGUGCAAUGGCAUAAGCCAGCUUGACUGCGAGCGUGACGGCGCGAGCAGGUGCGAAAGCAGGUCAUAGUGAUCCGGUGGUUCUGAAUGGAAGGGCCAUCGCUCAACGGAUAAAAGGUACUCCGGGGAUAACAGGCUGAUACCGCCCAAGAGUUCAUAUCGACGGCGGUGUUUGGCACCUCGAUGUCGGCUCAUCACAUCCUGGGGCUGAAGUAGGUCCCAAGGGUAUGGCUGUUCGCCAUUUAAAGUGGUACGCGAGCUGGGUUUAGAACGUCGUGAGACAGUUCGGUCCCUAUCUGCCGUGGGCGCUGGAGAACUGAGGGGGGCUGCUCCUAGUACGAGAGGACCGGAGUGGACGCAUCACUGGUGUUCGGGUUGUCAUGCCAAUGGCACUGCCCGGUAGCUAAAUGCGGAAGAGAUAAGUGCUGAAAGCAUCUAAGCACGAAACUUGCCCCGAGAUGAGUUCUCCCUGACCCUUUAAGGGUCCUGAAGGAACGUUGAAGACGACGACGUUGAUAGGCCGGGUGUGUAAGCGCAGCGAUGCGUUGAGCUAACCGGUACUAAUGAACCGUGAGGCUUAACCU
rnacentral:rRNA from 1 species